rnacentral:ncRNA from 2 species
AGUGUUCCGCCCGUCGAUGGUUCCGACGCCCUCUUCGAGGGCCGAGGAGGCAAGAGGGAACCCGGUGCGAAUCCGGGACUGCCCCGCAGCGGUGAGCGGAAACAACCGCCGUCACGAAGCACUGGGAGCACGCGCUCCUGGGAAGCGACGGCCAGUAGGUCCGGCUGGAAGGCCGGGUGUCCGCGAGUCCGAAGACCUGCCAGCGAUGCGCGCGCCGG